rnacentral:rRNA from 1 species
UUAUUAUUGUCGAUAUCUUCUGCCCGGUGUUUAUAUAAACGGCCGCAGUACCUUGACUGUGCUAAGGUAGCAUAAUCAAUUGGCUAUUAAUUGUAGUCUAGUUUGAAUGAAGUAAUGAAUAGUAACUAUAAUAAGAAAUUUUAUUUUAACUUAAUGAACUGGUGAAAAUACCAGUAUAUAGAAAAAAGACGAGAAGACCCUUAGAGUUUUURAAAUAAAGAUUGUUUAAGACUUUGAUGUAUCAUCAUCUUAAAGUAAUUAUACAACACACUUUUUUGUUGGGGCGACAAGAAAGCAAUAUAACCUUUCUAUUUACGCUAAAAGUGGGUAUUAGAUCUGACGAUAUUAUUAUGAAUGACUAAACUACCUGAGGGAUAACAGCAUAAUGAUAAAUAUUAGUUUGUGACCUCGAUGUUUUACUAGGGACUUGUACACUAACCGUGAUAAAAGCUUGUUCUGUUC